rnacentral:rRNA from 1 species
ACGAACGCUGGCGGCGUGCUUAACACAUGCCAGUCGAACGGAAAGGCCCUGCUUGCAGGGUGCUCGAGUGGCGAACGGGGGAGUAACACGUGGGUGAUCUGCCCCUUACUUUGGGAUAAGCCUGGGAAACUGGGUCUAAUACUGGAUAGGACCAUGCUGUAGGUGGUGUGGUGGAAAGAUUAGUUUCGGUAAGGGAUGAGCUCGCGGCCUAUCAGCUUGUUGGUGGGGUAAUGGCCUACCAAGGCGUCGACGGGUAGCCGGCCUGAGAGGGUGGACGGCCACAUUGGGACUGAGAUACGGCCCAGACUCCUACGGGAGGCAGCAGUGGGGAAUAGUGCACAAUGGGCGCAAGCCUGAUGCAGCGACGCCGCGUGGGGGAUGACGGCCUUCGGGUUGUAAACUCCUUGCAGCCAUGACGAAGCCCUUGUGGUGACGGUAGUGGUAGAAGAAGCACCGGCUAACUACGUG